rnacentral:rRNA from 1 species
CCUACGGGUGGCAGCAGUGAGGAAUAUUGGUCAAUGGACGUGAGCCUGAACCAGCCAAGUAGCGUGAAGGAUGACUGCCCUAUGGGUUGUAAACUUCUUUUAUAAGGGAAUAAAGUGUUCCACGUGUGGGAUUUUGUAUGUACCUUAUGAAUAAGGAUCGGCUAACUCCGUGCCAGCAGCCGCGUUAAUACGGAGGAUCCGAGCGUUAUCCGGAUUUAUUGGGUUUAAAGGGAGCGUAGGUGGAUUGUUAAGUCAGUGGUGAAAGUUUGCGGCUCAACCGUAAAAUUGCAGUUGAAACUGGCAGUCGUGAGUACAGUAGAGGUGGGCGGAAUUCGUGGUGUAGCGGUGAAAUGCUUAGAUAUCACGAAGAACGCCGAUUGCGAAGGCAGCUCACUGGACUGCAACUGACACUGAGGCUCGAAAGUGUGGGUAUCAAACAGGAGUAGAUACCCUUGUAGUC